AAAUAAGAAGCAAUUUAUGCAUUUAAUUUCGACUUAAAAGAUAGAGAAAUUAUACUUCUCCUUAUUUA
rnacentral:tRNA from 1 species